rnacentral:rRNA from 1 species
UACGGAGGGGGCAAGCGUUGUUCGGAAUUACUGGGCGUAAAGGGCGCGUAGGCGGGCGACUAAGUCAGAGGUGAAAGGCCUGGGCUCAACCUGGGAACUGCCUUUGAAACUAGUUGUCUAGAGUCCGGAAGAGGAUGGCGGAAUUCGCAGUGUAGAGGUGAAAUUCGUAGAUAUUGGGAAGAACACCAGUGGCGAAGGCAGCCAUCUGAUCCGGUACUGACGCUGAGGCGCGAAAGCGUGGGGAGCAAACAGG